rnacentral:rRNA from 1 species
CUUCGGGCUGCAGCAGUGAGGAAUAUUGCACAAUGGGGGGAACCCUGAUGCAGCAACGCCGCGUGGAGGAUGACGCAUUUCGGUGUGUAAACUCCUUUUAUAUGUCAAGAAAAUGACGGUAGCAUAUGAAUAAGCACCGGCUAACUCCGUGCCAGCAGCUGCGGUAAUACGGAGGGUGCAAGCGUUACUCGGAAUCACUGGGCGUAAAGGACGCGUAGGCGGGUUGGAAAGUCAGGUGUGAAAUCCUACAGCUUAACUGUAGAACUGCACUUGAAACUUCUAAUCUAGAGUAUGGGAGGGGGAGAUGGAAUUAGUGGUGUAGGGGUAAAAUCCGUAGAUAUCACUAGGAAUACCUAAAGCGAAGGCGAUCUCCUGGAACAUUACUGACGCUAAGGCGUGAAAGCGUGGGGAGCAAACAGGAUUAGAUACCCCCGUAGUC